CGGGUCCGGAUGACCUUGCGCCUCCCGGUACACAGCCCAUCCGUCCGUACGGCCGGGAGAAGCUUGCGUUCUCUGAUGUGUAACCGCCGACCGGUGGAGUACACGGGGUUACCCUCCCUAUUAGCUGGGAUAACCUUCGGGGAAACCCGGACUAAUACCGGAUGGAUAUUUUGGAACCCGCAUGGUUCAAAAGUGAAAGCCGGUCCUGCCUGGUCACUUAUAGAUGGAUCCGCCUGCAUUAGCUAGCUUGGUAAGGUUACGGCUUACCAAGGCAACGAUGCAUACCGACCUGAGAGGGUGAUCGGCCACACUGGAACUGAGACNCGGUCCAGACUCCUACGGGAGCAGCAGUAGGGAAUCGUUCCGCAAUGGGCGAAAGCCUGACGGAGCAACCCGCGUGAGUGAUGAAGGUCUUCGGAUCGUAAACUCUGUUAUUAGGGAAGAACAUAUGUGUAAGUAACUGUGCACAUCUUGACGGUACCUAAUCAGAAAGCCACGGCUAACUACGUGCCAGCAGCCGCGGUAAUACGUAGGUGGCAAGCGUUAUCCGGAAUUAUUGGGCGUAAAGCGCGCGUAGGCGGUUUUUUAAGUCUGAUGUGAAAGCCCACGGCUCAACCGUGGAGGGUCAUUGGAAACUGGAAAACUUGAGUGCAGAAGAGGAAAGUGGAAUUCCAUGUGUAGCGGUGAAAUGCGCAGAGAUAUGGAGGAACACCAGUGGCGAAGGCGACUUUCUGGUCUGUAACUGACGCUGAUGUGCGAAAGCGUGGGGAUCAAACAGGAUUAGAUACCCUGGUAGUCCACGCCGUAAACGAUGAGUGCUAAGUGUUAGGGGGUUUCCGCCCCUUAGUGCUCAGCUAUACGCAUUAAGCACUCCGCCUGGGG
rnacentral:rRNA from 1 species